rnacentral:rRNA from 1 species
GGUUGAUCAGUGGCGAACGGGUGAGUAACACGUGAGUAACCUGCCCCAGACUCUGGGAUAACUUCGGGAAAUCGGAGCUAAUACUGGAUAUGAGACGUCCUCGCAUGGGGAGCGUCUGGAAAGAUUUAUCGGUCUGGGAUGGACUCGCGGCCUAUCAGCUAGUUGGUGAGGUAAUGGCUCACCAAGGCGACGACGGGUAGCCGGCCUGAGAGGGCGACCGGCCACACUGGGACUGAGAUACGGCCCAGACUCCUACGGGAGGCAGCAGUGGGGAAUAUUGCACAAUGGGCGAAAGCCUGAUGCAGCGACGCCGCGUGAGGGAUGAAGGCCUUCGGGUUGUAAACCUCUUUCAGCAGGGAAGAAGCGAAAGUGACGGUACCUGCAGAAGAAGCGCCGGCUAACUACGUGCCAGCAGCCGCGGUAAUACGUAGGGCGCAAGCGUUGUCCGGAAUUAUUGGGCGUAAAGAGCUCGUAGGCGGUCUGUCGCGUCUGUUGUGAAAACUCGAGGCUCAACCUCGGGCUUGCAGUGGAUACGGGCAGACUAGAGUGCGGUAGGGGAGACUGGAAUUCCUGGUGUAGCGGUGGAAUGCGCAGAUAUCAGGAGGAACACCGAUGGCGAAGGCAGGUCUCUGGGCCGCAACUGACGCUGAGGAGCGAAAGCAUGGGGAGCGAACAGGAUU